UUUCCGUAGGGGAACCUGSGGAAGGAUCAUUAUUGAAUAACCUUAGCUUGAUGGGUUGUCGCUGGCCUCUCGAGGCAUGUGCACGCCCGUCUUGACUCUAUUCAUCCACCUGUGCACUUCUUGUAGUCCUCUACACUAUGUCUUUAUUCAUAAACCAUGUAGCAUGUUGCCAGAAUGUAUUCAAUGGGCUUUUGUGCCUAUAAAACUUUAUACAACUUUCAGCAACGGAUUUCUUGGCUCUCGCAUCGAUGAAGAACGCAGCGAAAUGCGAUAAGUAAUGUGAAUUGCAGAAUUCAGUGAAUCAUCGAAUCUUUGAACGCACCUUGCGCUCCUUGGUAUUCCGAGGAGCAUGCCUGUUUGAGUGUCAGUAAAUUCUCAACCCCUCCAGUUUUUUUUGUUACUGGUUGGGGCUUGGAUGUGGAGGUGUUGCGGGCCGGUCGGCUCCUCUGAAAUGUAUUAGCGGAACUGUUUGCGAUCUGUUACAGGUGUGAUAAUUAUCUACGCCAAUAGGUUGCUCUCUGUUGUAUUCUGCUGCUAACCGUCCACAAAGGACAACCAGUUACUGAAUAUUUGACCUCAAAUCAGGUAGGACUACCCSCUGAACUUAA
rnacentral:rRNA from 1 species